UACUUCUCUUAUUUGUCUGCAGUGUACUGUGAAUGACUGUUGUUAUGGACCACUGGUGGACUGCAUCAAACACGCUAUUGGACACGAGCAUGAAGUCUUGCUGCGAGAAAUGCUUUUG